CAGCCGCGGUAAUACGGAGGGUGCGAGCGUUAAUCGAAUUACUGGGCGUAAAGCGCAUGCAGGUGGUUGGUUAAGUCAGAUGUGAAAGCCCAGGGCUCAACCUUGGAAUCGCAUUUGAAACUGGCUGACUAGAGUACUGUAGAGGGGGGUAGAAUUUCAGGUGUAGCGGUGAAAUGCGUAGAGAUCUGAAGGAAUACCGGUGGCGAAGGCGGCCCCCUGGACAGAUACUGACACUCAGAUGCGAAAGCGUGGGGAGCAAACAGGAUUAGAUACCCUGGUAGUCCACGCCGUAAACGAUGUCUACUUGGAGGUUGUGGCCUUGAGCCGUGGCUUUCGGAGCUAACGCGUUAAGUAGACCGCCUGGGGAGUACGGUCGCAAGAUUAAAACUCAAAUGAAUUGACGGGGGCCCGCACAAGCGGUGGAGCAUGUGGUUUAAUUCGAUGCAACGCGAAGAACCUUACCUACUCUUGACAUCCAGAGAACUUUCCAGAGAUGGAUUGGUGCCUUCGGGAACUCUGAGACAGGUGCUACAUGGCUCUCGUCAGCUCGUGU
rnacentral:rRNA from 1 species